rnacentral:lncRNA from 1 species
GAAGUCAGGGAGAGUUAGGCCUCCUGCUUGCUUUUUGUUCCUCAGGAUUGCUUUGGCAAGUCUGGGUCCUUUGUGGUUCCAUCUAACCAGUUCUGCGUUAUGUGGUUCCAUAUAAAAUUUUGGCUGGUUUGUUCUAGUUCUGGCAUGGGUCAUUUGAUAGGGAUUGCAUCGAAUCUGUAGAUGGCUUUGGGCAGUAUGGCCGUUUUUACAGUAUUAAUUUUUCCAGCCCAGGAGCAUGGAAUAGCUUUCCAUUUCUUUGAAUCCUCUUUCAUUUCCUUGAUGAAUGUUUUCUAGUUCUCAGCCCAUAAGUCUUUCACCUCCUUGGUCAGGUUUAUUCCCAGGCUAGGGGUUGAAUCAGAGCUCCAGCUGCCGGCCUACACCGCAGUCACAGCAACGUGGGAUCUGAGCUGCAUCUUUGACCUACACCACAGCUCAUGGCAACACCGGAUCCUUAACCCACUGAGCAAGGCCAGGGAUCAAACCCGCAACCUCAUGGUUCCUAGUCAGAUUCGUUAACCACUGAGCCACGACGGGAACUCCACGACACCGUUUUAUUGAAGGGACUUGAGCACCUGCAGGUUUGGGUAUUCCUGGAGGGCUCCCAGAAUCAAUUCCCUGAGGAUGCUGGCCGAGGGCCGCGAAUGUUCAUUGAACAAAUGCGGGAUGAACAGAGUUGAAGUCAGCAAGUGCUUGUCGGUGUUUUCACAGCUCUCAAAAGCAGGUGGCAGCUGGCUGAGGAGGGACUUAGACAUACAGGAGGGGGACUGCCCCCCGCAGCACCAUCUCUCCUUGGCAUUGCGUAGCUUUCCUCAAUCCUUAGAUGCCCAGAGUCCAUCCUUCCAUCCCUCUUAGGCCUGUUGCUGCCCGCCGUGCCCGACUCCUACACGUGGCUCCCAUCACACGGGUGUCAUAACGGUGACAGCUGCCAGUCAAAUAUUCCGUUUAUAAGUAUCACUAGAUCAGGGGUAUAUCAAGCACCAACUAGCCUUUUUAUGAGACGGCCUGAGAAUCUGAUUAAAUAAAAUGCUCUUUCUUUCUGCAAGAUCAUGGGUCUUAAUUCCAACCAACGGACUCAGUAGGCAAGAGGUGUGUCUAAACCUUCAGGAGUUGGGAAGUCUUUUUGUUUAGCAGGGCCAGGGUGCUGCUGGCCCUCCAGUUGUGGAGAUAAGAUUUGCCCAGGAGGAAUUAGAGGAGGCUUUGAGGAUAUUUAAAUCUUCUGUGUACAUCUGACUGCUUUUAUUUUGCUCCGUUUAAAGAGAUUUUGCAAAUAAAGAGGGGUGGGAGUUUCUGUUCUGAGAUCUACUUGCUUUAUGCUUUUAACUUAGAGGCCGCCAGUAAAUCUUUGAAGAAGGAUCGCCUUGGAGUUCCCUGGUGGCUCACUGGGUUAAGGGUCAGUGUUGUCACUGCUGUGGCUCGGAUUCUGUCCCUGGCCCCACAACGUCCGCAUGCCGUGGGUUUGGCCCCCAAAAAGGCAUCAUCUUGAUUAGGAAGAAUUAGGACAGCAAAUACAGAAGGCAUUAUCUCAGGGUUUUGAAGCCUCCUAUGAAAGAUUGGACAUGAUAAUAUAGUUAAGCAAAAAGUAACGUGUAGCCCCUCCCCACCCCCGCUUUUAAAAGUUCCUUGCAGCCAUUUGUAACCGAAUGAGUCUGUGGUUAUGUGAUAACCACACAGAGGUGACAAAUUGCCAAGUUCUAGUAAAAGAUACCCAGUUAUUUAAAGGUUGACAUGUAAAUAUGUCCCUUUUGGAAAUACUCUAAGCGGUUGUUUGCCUUCCAUGCAUAUUUAAAUGUAUACUUACAGUGAAGUAAUCUGGCUUGUAAAAUAUGGGGUUGCAGGAUCCAAUGACAAAUCUAGAUGAUCUGAAAUCAAGGUGUCCUCUGUUACCUAUAUGUUAAAUGGGAUUUUUUUUUUUUUUUUUAACCAGAAGAAUUCUAAGAAGCAUUUUCAGGCAUUGUUCUUUUUUCUCCCAUCUUUUUACGGUGCACCUUCAGCACAUGGAGGUUCCCAGGCUAGGGGUCGAAUCAGAGCUGUAGCUACCGGCCCACACCACAGCCACAGCACAGCAAUGCAAGACCUGAGCUGCGUCUGCGACCUACACCACAGCUCACGGCAACACCGGAUCCUUAACCCACGGAGCGAGGCCAGGGAUCGAACCUGCGCCCUCGUGGUUCCUAGUCAGAUUCAUUUCUGCUGAGCCACGACGGGAACUGGACCCGUUGCCACCUAGUAGGCUGCCAGCAGCAAGCAUGUAUUCUCCUCUGAGUAGAAUUAGAAUGCAUUUGAUCAGUUCAGGGCCGUCAUCCCACUUUGGCUCAUUUUACGGGACAGCUUGCUAAGUGGGUUAGUGUCUUACUUAUUCACCAUCUGCUCCCUUUCUGGUUUCCUAAGCGUGUGUGGGAGCAGGGGUUCACGUGAAGGAUGUCAGAAGGAAGACUGUUUGGAGAAGCUGGGCAUUUGGUUUAAACAGAGGCAUCUCAUGGUGUGUGGAACUUAUCUGCAGUAUAAGCAAAAAGGCAGUUGAGGGCAUCCGUGGAUUUUUGGAUUGGGCAGGCGGAGUAUUUUGCUUGAGUAUCGGGACCACUUUUUUGGUUUUGGCCGCUUUGAAACACGUGGCAGAAUCUAGGCGAGGGGACUUCUGCUGGCCUCUCUGCAAGAGCCUCCUAAUGGUCGCAGCAAGCAGCCCAAAGCACGGGGAAGUUAGACAGCGGCCUUCGGGCUCUCCUCGCCUUACAAAACCUCACUUGUGGAGAGCAUUUUCCAGAAGGGAAGACAGGCUGUUGCUGUGGGUCUCAGAUCGGAGCAAUACACCUGAUCCUUCCAUUCAGGGAGGAGUCCCGAGUAGGUAAACUAACAAACAAACAAACAACGCACCAAGUUCACUUGUGCAAAAAUAUCGAUGGCGAGAGCUUGGUAGGGAAAAAAUACGGGGCAUAAAGAGAAAGGCAGCAGAGCAUUUAAAGGCGUGUGGGGCUGAUGCCCCUCGAGAGCAAAGACGGGCAUAGACGGGGUUAAGCCUGUGUGGGUGAUGAGCGAUGGCAGAGGAACCUGGGGGUGGACGUGUCAGGGUCCCAGCCCGAGGAAGAAGGUUCUGGACCCAGGAAGGAGGUAGGGUCAGGGUGCCUGCAUCACCUAAUGAUGGGGGGGGAUGGGGGAUAGAUGUCUCAUCGUGGGGGGUGGGGGGCUGCCCAGCCCCCACUGGAACAGCCUGGAAACCAAAGAUUGCAACCGCCAGCCAGUGCAGGGACAGGAAGUCCAGAUGGAGCCCUGGUGUGUCGAACCGAAAGAGGAAGGUCCCUCUCCUGGUGGAGGGUGACAGCGGCUGGCGACAGGAGGAAGGCUUAAGCGGAAAGCCCUCCAUGCGGAGCGGCAGGAAUCCUUUCCAGGUCCUGGCUUCGGGUGUGAAUGUGGCGUGAAGAGGAUCCAGCGCGACGGAGCCUUGUAAAUCACCUCUAGUGCCAUGGAAUAAAGUCUCUGAAGAAGUAUCAAGCAGGAGAGCAACGUACGAAGAGAAAAUCGGGUAUUUCCCUGCACUCUGGAAAGGAGAAAUUAUUGAUUUUUUUUCCCUGCCGCAGUCUCUUUACUUAGAUGAAUCUCCUGCAGUUCGCUUUUAGUGGCUCGGUCAGAAGUCUAAGUGAAAGUGAAUAUUUAACCACGUUCAAGGACGACUGAUAAUCUUUCCUGCUAAUAGAGGCGCAAGACUCAAGAGAAAGAAGAAUCUAG